GACGAACGCUGGCGGCGUGCUUAACACAUGCAAGUCGAACGGAAAGGCCCUGCUUUUGUGGGGUGCUCGAGUGGCGAACGGGUGAGUAACACGUGAGUAACCUGCCCUUGACUUUGGGAUAACUUCAGGAAACUGGGGCUAAUACCGGAUAGGAGCUCCUGCUGCAUGGUGGGGGUUGGAAAGUUUCGGCGGUUGGGGAUGGACUCGCGGCUUAUCAGCUUGUUGGUGGGGUAGUGGCUUACCAAGGCUUUGACGGGUAGCCGGCCUGAGAGGGUGACCGGCCACAUUGGGACUGAGAUACGGCCCAGACUCCUACGGGAGGCAGCAGUGGGGAAUAUUGCACAAUGGGCGGAAGCCUGAUGCAGCAACGCCGCGUGCGGGAUGACGGCCUUCGGGUUGUAAACCGCUUUCGCCUGUGACGAAGCGUGAGUGACGGUAUGGGUAAAGAAGCACCGGCUAACUACGU
rnacentral:rRNA from 1 species